GUGGGGAAUAUUGCGCAAUGGGGGAAACCCUGACGCAGCGACGCCGUGUGAGGGAAGAAGGCUUUCGGGUCGUAAACCUCUGUCAGGAAGGAAGAACCUCUCAAGGCUGAACAAGCCUUGGGACUGACGGUACUUCCAGAGGAAGCACCGGCUAACUCCGUGCCAGCAGCCGCGGUAAUACGGAGGGUGCAAGCGUUAAUCGGAAUCACUGGGCGUAAAGCGCGCGUAGGCCGUCUUUUAAGUCGGACGUGAAAGCCCUCGGCUCAACCGGGGGACUGCGUUAGAUACUGGGAGACUUGAGUCCUGGAGAGGGUGGCGGAAUUCCGGGUGUAGGAGUGAAAUCCGUAGAUAUCCGGAGGAACACCGGUGGCGAAGGCGGCCACCUGGACAGGUACUGACGCUGAGGCGCGAAAGCGUGGGGAGCAAACAGGAUUAGAAACCCGUGUAGUCC
rnacentral:rRNA from 1 species